AAUUGUGAUUUGUUAGAAGAAAUUAUCGAGCUGCAAGGAGUCAUUGCUGAUGAGUCACAGUCAACAUCAGCUGCUCAAUCUAUUGUGGCUGAAACAGUGACGACCAAGUUUGUAUUUCCCAAACUAAUAAACCUGGGAUUGGAUAAGGUGCCAAGAUUGAAAAGUUUCUACUCUAGGAUGCAUACCACCCACUGGCCUUCAUUGAAAAAAAUGGACAUUAUUGAAUGCCCCAAAGUACAGAUAUUUACUCCACAAUGUCCCGGGAGUCAGGUUGGAAUCUCAAACCAACAACCCUUGUUUUGCGUCAAUGAGGUAAGCUCGCGAACAGUUUCAUAUUCCAUGAUCAUUACUUGAGAUUACCUAUAAAAUGCUUUUUGAAAAAACUAAUAUUCUCUCCUCUUUUAAUUUUAUGAGAGUCUAGUUCUUACUAAUUUAAAACUCUUUCAUCGAUGUCUAAUAUAUUCUUUGCCAUCCAGGACACUUUCCCUGUAUUAGAAGAACUAACUCUGAAGACGAAUGAUAUGGGGAAGGGGAUAUGUGAUGGACAACUCUCAUUGCAGUGUUUCCAAAACCUUAAGCAUCUUAACCUCCAAUUCUUUCCCGAGACAUCCACUACUCUUCCGUAUUCCUUCAUUCGGUCACUACCAGUGCUUCAUAAGCUUGUUAUAGACAAUGCUUCCAUUUGUCAAAUAGUACAAUCUGAAGGACUCAGCGACUAGGAAUGGCAUACAUCAGCAUUCUAUCAGCUAAAGGAAUUAAGUUUGUCUCAACUUCCAGAGUUGACGUUAAAGACUUUUGAACCAUCUUUGCUGUCUUUCAAAAAUCUAACAACACUGAAAGUUUCAAGAUGCCAUGGGUUCAUCAAUUUAAUCGCAUGCUCAACAGCUAAGUGCCUGACGCUACUGGAAAGAUUGAUCAUAGAUGAUUGUGAGAUGAUAGAGGAAAUCAUAGCGUGUGAGGCUGAAGAAAUACAAGGCGGCAUUGUAUUUCCCAAACUGAAGUAUUUGCAACUAAGUUGUCUGCCAUGUCUAGCAAUCUUUUCCUUGGCCCAUCACUUGUUGGAAUUCCCAGUCUUGCUAAUGUUGAUGGUGACAAAGUGCCCCCAAAUGAGGAAUUUCUGCCAAGGAGAUUUAAGCACGCCAAGGCUGGAACAAAUGCACUUAACAAGAGAUGAGGAAGGUGAACUGAAGUGGGAAGGCGACCUUAACACUACCAUAAAACAUAUGUUCGAUGAAAUGGUACAAAUCAUUUAAAGGAUUUAAAUUCAUGUGUUUUUACAUACAUACAUACAUAGUUAAUUGAACAAUUCCUGGUUUGUUAUGAUCAUGCACAGAAUGUGCAAAAUUCUGAGGUGACGGAGGUUACUGAUCAGUUGCCCAAUCUGGAAUAAGGAAAUAUGUUUGGGUGCUUAUGCGAAAAGCUCAAUUUCGUUUGAAUUCAAAACAAACGGUAAUUGACUCCUCUAUUUUCAUCAUGGCUUAACUAAUGCUUUAUAAAGUGACCAUAGAGACGCCCUUUUCAUUGUAGGUUGAGUUGCUCUACUGAAGUACGAGGCUGCAACUUUUGGUAAAAUGUGAAAGGUUAUUUCAGUUUUUGUAAAACUACCAUUUGAACUGUUCCAUUUCACAUUAUACCCUCAAAAUUGAACUUCAAGUGCAUCAUGCUUGGCAUUGGGCUACAAACAUGUAAACUUUUACUAGUAAGGUUGACCCCUGUUUUAAGGAUUUGCCAACUUUUGAUGGUUACCAUAUCAAUGUCAGCUUAAAGCUAUCAAGUAUCUUUACAAAUAUAAUAUAUAUAUAUUAUUCCUUAAUGAAGGAUAAAAGUAGGCAGCUAUCUAUUAAUGGUACGGCUGAUUCUGAAAAGACGGCUGAAAUUGAAUCAAUGGGUUGUUGGUAAUUGCCUGAUGGAAGAACAGGGCCUAAUGUUACGUGGAUCCUGAUCAAGUUUUAAAUUUUCAGUUGUAGGCAUUACUGAUUAUUGCCAUUUGGUUGUUGAUCCUCUGAUUUUACGGUUGACUGUCUUGCUUAUACGUUGCAAGGUUGGCGGGUCUCAAGUAUGAAUUUCCAAGCCGGCUGUCAUCCAUAAUUAACUAAGUGUUCCAAUCUGUUGAAAGGUGGUUAGCAUGCAGCAUUGAAGACCACCAUGCAGAAGCAGCAGUUUGCACGAGAAAGCAAGGAUGUUUAGUUUCAUUUGAAUUUUUUUUUUUGUUUAUGUAAUGUAAUCUAGUUCAUUUUGAACUAUGAUAAGAUGAUAUUUGAUGUAAACUUGAUGGUGAUUGAGCUGUUUACCAGCUUUAUUCAUUUGCACAAGUUAUCAUUCCAAUUUACUAGGAAACUUAGUGGUAGUAGGUAUAGUUUUGGUUAACCUACUGUCUUGACAAGCUAGAAGCUUGAUUUAUGUAUUGGCAUUAAGCCUUUUUUUGAUGAAUGAAUUUAAUCAAGUUUUCAUUCAAAAACUCUCACCAUUCUCCUUGCUUUAUUCUUUUUAGUUUUCUGCUUGUUUCUGCUGCAAGUCACGACACUUGCUGCUCAAGCAAUAGGCUGAAACUUGUUGUUAGUUGCUCUCAGCUCCAACAGAAUCCAUGGAGUUUAUGGUUUAUUAGUGUAACUGUCCAUUUGGUUGUGGAUUGGUUCUUAAGGUGUUUUGAUGCUUGUAUGUUACAGUGCCUGCUCCAAGCAACACCCUUUAAUUUCUAAUGAAUUUUAUUUGUUGAGGAAAAAAAUAUGAGGAUUAAUCUGAUAUUUUAUGUUUGGGUUUAUGAAGAUUUUUGUACCUUUAAUGAAAAAAGCAAAUAAAAUAGAGAGGUACAAGAUCACAUCCAUAGAUCAACAAAGGGGUUUAAUAUUUCUAUAAAAAAAGUUGUCCCAAAAAGGCCUUCUAAUGGGAAUUGAAAAAAAAGCUUGUAAAAAUUUACAAAAGGAAUUGAUGAGAAUCUGAUACAGCCAUCACAUGCGACAGCUUUCCCUUAAAAGCAUUCGUGGCUGAGUCUAGUCUUAAUUUUUAUUUGUAUCUUUUAUAUCCGUUUUAUAAUUCAUAUUUAAGAUUUGUAUUAUGCGCUUAAUAUUUCAUUAUUUGUUGUCUAUGAUGCUCAUUCUUGAAAAAAAAAACAAACAAACAAAUGCAAUGCAUGCAUAAACCAUAAAAAAAAUAAAGAACAUAAGCAACUAAUAAUGAAAUAUAUUAAAAUGAAGACCGGUAAUUGAUUUAAGAAUUACCCUAAUUUCGGUAAAUAUAUUAAAACAUGUGUCCCUAAUCUUUUUCAAUUUUGAUAUUGAAAAAAUUGGUAUUCUUAAAAUUAUGAGAGUUAUUCAAUUAUUUUCAUUUUUGAAAUUGAUAAAUUAAGGACAAUUAAUCACAACGUUAAUGUUUUUAUCAAUUAUAUAUGAUUUUCUUGAUAUAAUGAUAAAUUUAGUCCUCAAAGUUUACACAUUCUAUCAAUUUGUUAUUGAUUUAACAAAUUUAACCCACAAUAUUUACACAUUUCGUCAAUUUGAUCAUGAUUUAACAUAUUUAACCCGUAAUAAUUAUACAUUCUAUCAACAUUUACGCAAAAUAUAUAAUCAUCAAGGAUUAAAUUUGUUUUUAUACUAAUCAAAAUUAUGUAUAAUUAACAGAAACUAUUAGCGCUUGAUUAAUUGUUCGUGGUUACUUUCAAAAAAGAUAAGGAUUAAUUUGUUCAAUAUCAAAAAGAUGUUUUUUAUUUUUAUUUUUUAAUUUCAUAGGUAAGAAAAUCUCAAAAAAAAGAAAAUCUUUGAAAUAAAAAAUAGAAUGUUUUAUAUAAUUAUUUGAAGUUACUCUCACGUUAUUUUUACCCAUUCAAAGCUAGCAAGUCUUUAUGUACAAAAUGGUAUAGCUCUGCAAUUUGGAUUAACAUUUUGGUGACCUCCAUGUGAAGUGAAAGAAAAUUGAGAAUGUCACACAAUUAUUAUUUUUGCCUCCAUACCCCUAUGCCACCAAAGAAAGUUGAAUUAUUAAGGCACAAAAGUACUAAGGAGUAGGAGCUAGAAAAAGAGGGGCAUGAAAAUAAAGAGACUUACAUUUAUUAUUUGCAUAAUACAAAAUCAGUCUUUAAUAUUUACAUAUUUUAUUAAUUUGAAUUUUAUUUUUAUUUAGUUAAAUUUAACUUUAAACCCUUUAAAAAAAGUUAAAUUUGAUCAUCAACAUUUUAAAAAGAGUCAAAUUAUUAUUUAACGGAAAUGUUAAAUUUUGAAAUACAUAUAACAAUUCGCGUGUAUUUCAUAUUAUUUUUUUAAAUUUUUUAUAUUUUUUUGAAAUUUUUAUUUUUGAAUAUUGUUAGAAAAAUAUUUGGAACAUUGUUAGUGGAGUUUUUAACCUCCACCAACAAAAUUAAUGGGUUAAUAAGUGUCUUACAGGGAUAUAAUAAAAUAUUAAUAUAUAUAUAUUAAAAUAUAUAUAUAUAUGUUAAUUUUUUUAAAGUUGUGGAAUAAAAAUAAUAUAUUAUUGGCAUACCAAAUACUCACCUUUUUAAUUAAGAUUUAAAAAUAAAAAAUAGUUAGUAAAAUGAAUGGAUUGCAAAUUGAGAAAUUUGAUAUUGAAUAUUAAAAUUUUCUUAAAAAGAAGACAUAUAGCAAGAUAAGAAAGUUAGUGAUUUAUUUGAUUUAAUUUUAAUUUUUAAAUUGAUGCAUUUUAUUAUGAAUUUUUAUUCUUUGUGUAUUUUGUAUAAUUUGUUUGAAAUUUUCAAUUUUCAAUUUCUCACAUGAGUUUGAGAUAUAAAAAAAAUUACUCUUAGGAUUGGUGAAACAGUGGAUACAAGAGUUCAGCUUAUCAUAUAUUGAUGAUUUUGUUCUUCGAAAUAUUGUCUACAGAUAGGAUAUCAGAGUUCUAUUAAUUAGAGUUCCGUUAAAAAGUCGAAAUUUCUAUUUUAGCCUAGGACUCUAGGAGUUCUGUUAUCGAUAUUCUAAUUAUGAUCAUGAUCUAUAAAAAAUAUGAGUAACAUGUGAUACGUAAAUGAAAAUUUUUAUGAUAUGAUAAGUCAUAAAUUAAGUGAAAAUGUAUGAAAGUGUAUGAUUAUAUGAAAGACAAAAAUAAUUAAUUUAAUUUAAUGAUCUGUAAAAUUGAAAAAUGAAAUACAUGAAUUAUAUAAGAGAAUGUUGACGAUCAAUAUGUGGUAUGUAAAUGAGAAGGAAAAAAUUAUAUGACCAAAUACUAAAAUAAAUGAAUAAUGAAAUUAACUAAAUACUUUGUAAGUUCAAUAAUUUAAAAAAUUGUUAUUUUUCCCAUUCAAAGUUGAAAAGUCUUUUAUGUGAAAAAUAGUGUAGCUCUUCAAUUUGGGUAUAACAUUUUGGUCUUCUCCAUGUGAUGUGGAGGAAAAUUGACAACAUCACACAAUCAAAUCCAUUUUUUCUGCCAUACCCUUGUGCCUCCGAAGAAAGUUAAAUUAUUAAGGCACAAAAGUACCAAGGAGUAGAAGCUACCAAAAGAGGAGCAUGAAAAUAAAGAGAGAUACAUAUAUUACUGGCAUGAAAUAUUUACAUUUUUUAUUAAUUUGGAACUUCUUGCCUUUUACUACUAGCUUGAUUUGUAUCAUCGCUCUCACCUUUUUGAGCUUGUAUCUGAUAGUGAAACCAAAGAUUAGUGAAAGCCUUCGCACCAAAACUGAGUUCUAGGAACUGCAAUAGGAUCAAUUUCAACAACUCUAAUGGGAUAUUAAACAUUCCCAACUCUUAAGAUCACCAUCUCAUCAAUUUUACACAAUUAAAAUGAAUGUUUCCCUUCACAAAAGGUUUAGGAUGAGCAGCACCAUCGUCCACACUAAUAAAACUUCCCCAGUGAUUGGCGAUGUUUUUAAAUGUAGAGAUCGGACAAGCAUGGAUCGGAACCCCUAAAGUUGUUCUAUAAUUAACCAAAAUGUUUUCAGACCAUGACUCAACUUUUGUGAACCACCUCAUCGAAAUUUCAAUAAACUCUUUUAUAACCUUCUCCACCGUUAAACUCCAUUAGCAACUUGGAGGCCACCCUCUUCUAACCGCAGAGCAAGGUUCUCAAGAGUACAUAAAUCUCUACACCAUCCCAUAAUACAAAUUGUAGCUUAGAAAGUUUUUCUUCCUCGAUAAUCCCAUCUAUAGGAAUUGACUCUAUCUCUUUCUUACCUGUAGCCACCUCCUCCAUGAAACAAUUCUUGUUUAUAGCUUUUUCACCUCCGAGGGUUCCACUCGUAUCUAGAGAAUCCUUUGAUACCUCCAGAGCCUUUGAAGCGUGCAAAGUUGACCCAUAUUCUAUGUCCAAAUAAAUGGAACCGUUCAGACGAAGCGUCGCCCUUCUUGCAUCAGUAAAGUUUGCGAAUCUCACAAAACCAAAUCUUUCUCCUUUUUAUGAAGACAUCCAUAACCCUGCCGUGAUACUCGAAUAUCUUCCAAAGACCUGUCCAUUGCAUUCGUGGAGGACGAUUCACUACAAAAACAGUAACACAACUCUGUCCAGUGUCCACCACCCAACCCAUUACUCAUUAAUAAAACUCCUACUUCAUCACUUAACUAAAGCUUUCUUUUUGAUAUUUUUAUAUAUUUUAAUUUUGUUUUGUAUUCAAAUAAUUUGAUAAUUAACUUUUAACAAUUAUCCCAUAGUUUUUACUAUAAAUUUAAGGAAGACAAUCUUGAUAAAAUUAGUUUGAGGUAGGAACAGUUUAUUGGAACAGCGUAGUCUUUUAUAGGAUUAAAAAUAUUAAUGCAAGAAAUAAAAAACAAGUGAUUAAAGGUUUAGAACAAGCAAUCAAACUUAUUUUAUGUUAAAAUUUUCGAACAAUAUGAAAAUAUAUAAUUUUAAUUGUUCUUUUACCAAUUAAAUUGAUUUUUGACAGGUUUAACUAUUGACUUAAAAAAGAGUGUUAAUUUGAAUGGUUAAAUGUAAUGAUGCAUGGUUUGUCUGACAUCGUCACAUGGAAAAUGGGAUUAAAAAUGGAAAUUAAGCAAAGGCAAAAUGAAUAUAUUUAUUGUUUUCUAAUUUGGUGUAGGGUGCCAUAUUUGUUGAUAGCCACUCACUAAUACAUUAUAAAUGGAAUAAUUGCCUAUUUUACCUUUUUCAUGAAAUUUAUUGACAUCACCAGCUCAUUUUUCAACCACAUUACUCAAAUGAUUGACAGAGAGAGGUAAAAGUAAUUUAUAAAUGUAUUUCUUUUUUUUCGAGUAUAAUUUGUAUUUAUUUCUAGCCAUUUUUAUAAAGUUAUUGUUUAAAAAAGGGGUAAUUAUCAAAUUCAUAUAUGAUUUGGAUCCAAUGUACAAUUUGAUACAAACUACAAUUUGGUGUAAUUAUACACAUAAACUUGAAUUGUGAUUCAUAUGAGCACAUGAAACUUUGAUUUUGAUUCAAUUGUAUGCAUUUAAUGAAUGUAUACGUUUAAAAAAAAUGAAUAUUUACAUUUAUUUUCAUAUUUGAUUAUAUACAGGGGCGAAACCAGAAAAUUCUUUUAGGGGGCUGAAAUUAAAUUGUAAUUUUUACGAUAGCAAAAAUGUAAUUUCACCAUUUUAAUGGCCUAUAUCUUUAUAAUUUUUAAAUGAUUAAAUCAAAUUUUAUAUUUUUAGCGGAGCAAAGUACAAUUUUACCUUUACUAAUUUAAAAUUUUAAAAGGCCUAAAUAGAAAAUUCACCAUUUCAAGGGGACUGAGACUAGAGGUGAUCAUGGGUUGGGCCCACCCGAAAAAUAGGAGGGUCCAAGUAAAAAUAUAGACCCAAAAUAUGGGUUUCGGCAAAAAAAGAAGCCCGUUUAAAAAACGGGCCGGGCUCGGGUAAAAAUUUUUUGGCCUAGGCCCAACCCGACCCGGCCCGAAUUAUAUAUUAAAUAUAUAUAGUUUUUAUUUUUAAUCAAAUAUGUAUUAAAUAUAUACUUUUUUGGUGUUGUACAAUUUGAUAUGGGUUGGGCUCGGGCUUAGCAAUUUUCUUUUGGGCCGAGCUUGGAUAAAUUUUUAGGCCCAUAUUUUGGGCCCAGCCAAGCCCGAGCCUAAAAAAUGGGCCUAAAAUUUUGUCUGGGCCCUGCUCAGCCCAUGAUCACCUCUAACUGGAACCCCUGUCAGCCCCUUAGUUUCGCCCCAAAUUAUAUAAUAGUUUGUAUAUGCAAUAUAUCAACGUAAAAUUGUGCUAAUUCAAUAAUAUUGUUAGUGAUUUCUGAAAAUUGAAUCAAAUCAAUAUUUCAUAUAUAAAAUUGUACAAAAUCAAAGUUCAUAUACAACAUAAAUAAAUAAAUAAAAAGUUCAUAUAGAACAAUAUACAUUAAAUCAAAAUUUAUAUAUAAUUUUGAUAUUUAUCUCAUUCUUUAUUAAUUAUAACGUGUGAACGAGGUGAAUCCAAAUUUUGUCAUUUAUUUUCCUACCAUCUUUGCGAAAUAAAUUUCAACUUAAGAAGGAAAAAAUAAUUAACAUUUUCAAAUUCUAUCAAGAUAGACAUGUUCAUAGGUCAGACUCUCGGCUUAGGUUCAAAAGUUCACUAAAAUUUUGGGAGGGUUUGGAUAAAAAUAUCAUACCCAAAGAAUGGACUCGAGCAAAAAAAAAAGACCUGUUUAAAAUAUGGGUCGGGCUCGGGCUUGAAUAUUUAAGGCUAGACCCGUUUUAAGUUUAUAAUUUUUUAUAUUAUGUUAUUUUUUAUAUAUUAUGUAAUUUAGAACACAAUAAAAAAUAAACAUAUAGUAAAUAUAUAAUAUAACUCUAAUGUAAACAUUAAAAUAAUAUUAAAAUGACUAUAUAAAAAAUUUCAAUAAAUAAAAAUGUAUAAAUAUUAAAAUAAUAUAAUAUAAAUACUUUUUAAAAAAAUUAAAAAAUAAUAUAAGCGAACCUAAAAUGGGUUUAGAUUAGUUUUUUGUAAAUAUGGGAGUGUUUUGACAAAAUUUUAGGCCUAAAUUUCAAACCGGACCGAACUUAAACAAAUAUAAAAUAUCUUAAUAUCAUGCUUAAACCAACCUAUGAACACUUCUACAUAAAAAUAAUAUAGACGAAUUGAUGUCGUUUAGUUCCACAAGGUCAAACUUCAAAUUAAUACGAGUGUAUUAUUAAAAGUUUUCGUCCUCGCAUUACUUGUAAUUAGUUUAUGUCUUUUAAUUCAUUGAGAAGUAACAAGCAUGUAUGGAUGUCCAUUGUACAGGCCCAUUUUGACCUAAUCCAUUACAACCCAUAACCCAAGCAAAAACAAAACCUACCCAGGCCCAACUAAGCCUAACCCACCAAAACCAAAGCCCAAAUCAGCAACCCAAUUCAGCCCAAUCUACCUAACCCUAGCCAAUUUGUAGAAAAAAGAAACAGCAGCCACCCUAGGUGCGCCGCACCUAGGGCCUUCGUCCACCUACCCCCUGCCACCGCCUCUGACCAGCGCCGCACCUGCUCUCUGCCAUCGCCCAACUGCACCUGCAAGAAGAGAAACCAACACGCAACAACAAAUAGUAGACAUAGAUAAAAAAAAUGUUAAAAUCGGCUAUAAAAGCCGAAACCAGAGGAAUGUAAAGGGUUCGGCCCCUCUUUGACGAUUAAAAGAAAUAAAAGUUUUUUGAAAAUCUUAAAGGUGACUACUACCUUUUUAGAUCUGUUUUUUUUUGUUCUUUUAAAUAUUAUUUUUGUUUUUAAAUACAAACAAAUUAAAAAUAAGAAUAAAGGAGAAGGCUUUUUACCUUACCUGCGCCGCGACGGAGGUGGAGGAAGGCGAACGGUUUCGCCCCAUUUUUUGGGUCUUCGGCUUUCUAUUCAGGAGAUUCAGCCCCGGAUCUGUGGCCUGGAGGCCAUGGACUUCAAAAAAGGACGAAAAAGGUCCGAUUUUGAACCUCCGGCGGCCACACACGGUGGCUCUGCGGCGGAGACUCGUCGGAAAUCUCGAGCCGGACCAUGGCCGGACCUGAGAGAAAAAGAGAGAGUUUUCUCUCUGUUUUUUUAAAAAGAAGAUGAAACUGUUUCUUUUAGCUUUUUUUAGUAUUUAUAUUAAACGUGAAACGACGCCGUUUUAGCAAAAGGAUCCGCGCGUCGACCCGACCCGACCCGGAGGAUCCGCGUGUUUUCAGUUUUUGGGAUAUUUCGCGUGCAGUCCCCCUGAUUUUGCAGCGUAUUACAAUUUUAUCCUUUUGUUAUUUUCUCUUAUUUUUAAUUUAGCCCCUGCAAUUUUAUUUUUAUUUCGACUUGGUCCAUUUCAACGCUGCGUUUUGGGGCUGUGGUUUAUUUGCAGUUUUGGCCCUUUCCUUUUCAGCGCGCGUUGCAAUUCGGUCCUUCUUGUUUUUUUAUUUCAAAUUUGCCUAGUAUAUUUGUUUUUAUUUUGAUUUAGUCCCUUUUUAGCAAUCUUAUUUAUUUUGAUUAAUUAUUUUAAUGUAUUAUCAUUUAUUAUUAUUAUUGUUGCAUUUAUUAUUCUGAUUAUCAUUUACCCAUUCGCAUCGUUUUUGGAUUUGGUUAUACAUACAUACUUAUAUAUAUUUUUAUAUUUUAUAACUUAUAUACAUAUAUCUAUAUUUAUAUUCUUUACCUUCACAAAUAUAUGUAUACGUACCUAUAUAUAUAUAUUAUUUUAUAUAUAUACAUCCUUUUACAUUUUUAGGUUUUUAUAUUUUGUUCAUUAUUUAUUUAUUUAUUUACAAUUUUGUUAUUAUUUUAAAAGAAUGCUUUAACUUUAUUUGCUUAUAUAUUCAUUUUGUAUGCUAUUGAUUUGUCUUUUUUUAUUUAUCUUAUCUUUGAUGCUAUUGCUCGUGUUAUUUUACUUGCAUUAUCAUCAUCAUUUCAUUAUACCCAUUUUUAUUUAGAUUUCGAAAAAGAAAUUUUAGAAAUAAGUAAUAUUCGGUAUUUUGGAUCUUCGAGAGAAUCGAGCCCUAACGUAUUGGGUUCCGACUUUCUUCGUUGAACUUAAAUAAUUGAGAUUAUUCUUUUAAAAAUGAUAAAAAGCUCGUUACCGAGAAUUCAAUAUGUUGUGUCCUAACGCAUUGGAUGUGACACGUUAUUUUUUCGAAACGAGAAUUUUUCUAAAUAAAUGUAAUAUUCAAUGUUUAAUAUUUUGAGAAAUUGUGCCCUAACGUAUUGGGUUGCGAUUUCUUCAUUUGAUUUAAACAAUUGAAUAUUCUUUUAAACUUUAUUACACGAAUUUUUUCAAACUCAAGUUAAACGAUAUCGGGAAUUAAAAAAAGGAUCGUGUCCUAACUUACUGGUCGCGAUAUCUUUUUUUAAUCCAAGAUAGUUAAAUAUCUUUUAAAUAAGCAUUUUUCAUUCGCGUAUCGGGAAUUCGAGACAUUGUGUCCUAACUUAUUAGAUAUGAUUCUCUUUCUCGAAUAGCGUGAAAUAUGCCCCUUUUUCAGAAAUUUUUCAACGUUUUAAUACAAGGAUCGUAUUUUUAAAAUUCUUCAAAGUUCUCAAUUUUCGACAUUAAGACAUUAAGUAGUCAAUUAGGUACCAAUUUUGGGCGUAUCGAGGGUGCUAAUCCUUCCUCGUGCGUAACCGACUCCCGAACCCGUUUUUCUGAAUUUCGUGGACCAAACUUGUUGUUUUAAUAAAAUCAAACCGUUUAUUAAAAACAACUAAUUUUAAGGUGAUCCAAUCACACCUCAUAAAAAAGGAUUGGUAGCGACUCCCGUUUCUUUUUUCAAAACCCAAGUCGACCCCGUUUUCCAUCCAAAAAAUGGUGUCAACAUCCAUCUUCUACCAUAGUUGUCUUCUAAAGAACUUUAUAAAGGGAAGCUAUGCCACUCUAUUUAAGGGUUGGUUUUGGAGAUUAAAGUGUAAUUUUAUCAUCAUAUUAACUUAAGUUUUUUUUUUAAAUUUAAAAACGUGUAAAUGGUAAAUUUACUAUUUUUGGAAGGUCAAGGCUAUUGCUUCCCCUUAUCUUUGCCCUGCUAGUAGUUGACUAACACGGUCUCAUACAGUAAUACUCUUAUCGAAUAUAAAGCCUUGUUUAAAUGGAGAUAUUUAUAAGAGGAAAAAUACUAAAUAAUGCAAGCUCGCCCAUGCCUGGUCACUGUGAGCCCCUUUGUGAGGAAGCACCUGAUCUUCUCUCGAAGUUACGAGGUUAUUUUGUCAAGUUCUUUAGAGAGAGUUGUCUCACACCCCUAGGUAUUCUCUACCUACCCACUUGUGUCGGUUUUGGGUACACGUACCCUUUUGAUGAAGGUCGUUCAAGCUUUUCCUGGAAGUAUAAUUUUUACUUCCACUUACAAUUUCAUAAAAUAAUAAUUUAUCAAAUCAAAAUUAUUCAAAUACAAAUUCAAAAUAUUUGAAUCAAAAUUAAAUUGGAGCUCCUCACUCAGGCUUCUACUUUUGUGCAUUGAUAAUUCAGUGGCAGCACUUCCCCCUUGCCUUAAUUGUUGAAAAUUGAAUAAAAAUUGUACCUUUCAUUUCCUUCCCUCAGACAAGUUGUUCAUUGUUGCUCCCACUCUUCAGUCUUCUCUAAAAUAAUGUAGGAAUCCCAAGUCACUAUAAUUAGGUGAUGAGGAUGGUACUUACUUUUUUUCCAAUAUCAGGGUAUUUAUCGUUAAUAAUAGUGAUUGAUUUUUUUUGUUGCGAAUUUGUACAAGAGCUUAUGUAAGAGUUUAAUAUAGUUCAAUGAUUAUUUUAUAAUUUUUUAAAGUUAAAUAAUCAAAAUAGAAAUUAAUUAACAAUUUAGCUAGAGAGCUUACACGUAGUUUACCCAAAAACAUAUCGACAUGAUCCCCCAUUGGAGUCCGAAGCCAAAGCUCACAAAUUGGGUUAACAUUUGACAUUUGGGGUUUCAAAUUGAGAAUUAAUUGAAAUAGAUAACAAUUAGCAAUUAAUUGAGAAUAAACAAAUUAUAUUCCAUAUAGUGUAGUAUUGAAUAUAUGUUUACUUCAUUAAAGGUCUCUUUUUUAUUCAAUUAAUUUCUCCAACUCAAAUUUAGCAACUUAUUAUGGUACUAUGAGAUUAUAAGAAUGGUUUUUGGAAGUAAAUCAGUGAGUGAAGUUGUAAAAUUACUGAUUUUCGAUUUAAUUACUUUAAUCAUUGGUCUAGUUUCAAUUAAAAAAUUUAUUCAUGAUUUAGCCUAUAAAUUAUAUAUAUUCUCUCACUUUAGUCUAGUUUAGACUUGCCUAUGGCCCUGCUCGAAUGUCCACCUGAAAAGCGAGAUGAUUUAGGUAAAUAUAUAUGCCCAAAAAGUUGGUCUGGAUAAAAAAAUAAUGCUCGUUUUCUAAACGGAUUGGGUCUCAGGUAAGCUUUUCUUGCUCAACCUGGCCCGAAUUUGCAAAAAAAAAAACUAUUGUUGUUUUUUUUACUAUUUUAUCAUUGUUUUUCUAUCAUUUCGUUAUUAUAUUGCUACUAUUUUAUUAUUAUUGUUUGAAUAAUGCAUAACUCUUGUUUUAUUACUAAUUUUGCUACUAUUUUAGGGAUAUUUACUUUUUAAGUUACACUUAUCUCAGUGUUAUAUAUUUAAGUAUUUUUUUUUAAUUUUCAUUUGUUCGGAAACAUUUAUUUCAAAUUUUUUAGUGUAUUUGAUGAAUUAUUUUUUAAAAUUUAUUUUUAUAUUAAAAAUAUAAAAAAUUAAUAUGGGCAGACUAGGCUUUUAACAUUUUAAUCUAAGUUGGGCUUGGAUAAAAUUUUAAGCCUAUUUUUCGAGCUGAACCGAGCUCAGGCCUAGAAAUUAGGCCUAAAUUUUUUACUUGGCCCUAUCAACCCAUGGACAACCCCAGUCUAGUUUCAGUUGGGAAUGAGAAUUACUACUAUUUUGUUGUUAUUAAAUUGUUAAACCAUUGUUUUUUUUUUUUGGUGCCACUUCAAAAAGCCAUUGGGCCUUAGUCAAGACGAGGUAACAUAGAAUAGUUCAGGGUCCUAACUGGAAAAUAUCCCACAUUGAUUAUUGUGAUGUAGAAAGUGGAAAAUAUGUAACGAGCGUCAUUGGAAAGAUGUAUGUCAAACUAGUGGAGCCAUAAAUUGGUAGUUUUCUAAGGUUGGUUUCAAAAUGAAGGGGGAGCUCCCAAGUCAAAAUAAAAUUGUUUAGUAUUUUUUAGUGUUUCCCUUUUAGACAGGUUAAAUUGUGUAUUUAUAUGUAGGGGUGUUCAUUCGGUUAACCGAUCGGUUAAUCGAAUCGAACUUUUUUAAAAAAAAUUAACCGAACGAAAUUUUUUCGGUUAAUUCGGUCGGUUAAUCGAAAAUUAUAUGUUUUUUUAUUUUUGGUUAAAAAUUAACCGAAUUAACCGAAUUAACCGAAUUCCCGAAUUACCCGAAUUAACCUAAUUGAAUCAUACAUAAUUAAAUUAUUUUUAGACUUUAAUACUUUAGUUUUAGUUUUAGUUUUAGAAUUUGUUUUUAUUUAUUAAAUUAUUUGUAAAUUUUAUGAUUGGGUUGGUUUGGGUAAUUGGGUUGGAUUGAAUACUUGGAUUUGGAUUGGGUUUAGGUGAAUAGUGGACCUAUUUAUAUAUUAAUAAUUUUAUUUAUUAAUUUUUUCGGUUAACCGACCGGUUUCGAACCGAAUUAACCGUUAACUGAAAAUUCAUAAAAAAAUUAACCGACCCCCGACCGAAAAAAUUCGGUUAACCGACCGAUUACCGAAUUUUUUCGGUUUUACCCGAAUUAUGCACACCCCUAUUUAUAUGAUAUGAUUACUGUUCACAGAUAUGAUAUCGUAGGUAGGUUCCCAUGCAAAUCAACGUAUACCCUACUUUAGGUUAACAUGUAUUUAUAUGAGGUGGAUUUACAUAGUGCAAACCCACAUCAUGCUGUCUCGUAGAAGGUUGCAAACACCUUACAUGCGAACUCAAAGUGCGAACUGUAAUGGAUCAGUAAUAGUGAAUAUCAUAACAAAAGUAAAUUAAAAUAUUUAAUUCCUUCCAAAUAUUAAUUUCAAUAAUUAUUCAACUCCUAUUAUUUUAUCCUUUUGUAUAUUGAAUUCCUCUAAGCAAAGAAAAUAUCCAAAUUAAAAUUUUUAAUUUUUUUAGACAUAAUAUCAAAUUUAACCUUCAACGUUUACAUUUUUUUGUCAAUUUGGCAAUUAUUCUUUUUUGAGCUAAAUUUGACCCUUAAUCUUUCAAAAAAGAGUCAAAUAUUUUUUUAUGAAAUCUUUUUUUAAUGAAAACAUUAAUAAAAACAUUAAUUUUUUUAACAAUAAUGGUGUGGCAACCCGCAUGGUAGUCCACGUAUACUUCCAUACUAGUAUGACACUAUUUGUAUUAUAUGUCAUGUCAACAAAUAAUUUUAAAAAAGUAUUUAAAAUUCAAAAAAUUAUAAAAAGCUCAUAAUAUGUAAAAUAAAAAAGCAUGAAGUACAUAUAGAUUGUCAUUCAAACUAUCAUAUUUGAAAAUUUAAUGUUAUAAUCGAAAUUUUUUUUAAAAAAAUAACAAUUUAACUCUUUUAAAAUAUUAAUGGUUAAAUUUAACUUUUUAAAAAAAAUUGAAAGUCAAAUUUAGCUCAAAAAAUAAAGAUUAAACUGACAAAAAAUAUAAAUGUUAAAAGGUUAAAUUUCAAAUUAUAUCAUUAUUUUAUUAAACAAACCUUAUUAAAAAUGUAUUUAAAUUUUAUAAAUCUUAUUAAAAUAAUAUUAAUAAUUAUUCAACUCCUCCACACAAAGAAGCAUCCAAAUUAAAAAUAUAUAUUUAAUUCCUUUCAAAUAUUAAUUUGUUCAACUUCUUAAAUUAAGUAAUUAAUCAAUUUUCGUUUUAAACAAAAAACCGGAUAGGAAAACCAUCAUUUUCUCGGGAAACAAACAGAGAAAGCUGCAAACUUUCCAAAUAUAUACCUUACUCGAAAAUCUGCCACGUCUUAUCCUUGAUAUGAUGGUUUCUAACAUUGCCACUUGGCAAGUUAUUCAGUAACAAUGCCAAUCUGCCACCAUUAUGCUUUUCCUUGCAGUACAAAAUUCCAGGAUGCCUUUACUUCUUUUGCCUCUUGGAUCAGCAUUUACUAUCACCAAAAUCAAAAUCCCAACUUUGAAAAAAAAAAAGUUUAAUUUUUAUCCUUUUUUUAAAAAAAUUUAACAAUUUUUUAUUUUCCAUUGUCAACCUUGUAAAAUUCUUUUAUAUUUUUAUGUUUUUAGUGGGAUUUUUACAUUUGUUCCAAAUUAUCAGUUUGUCAAGUUCUUCAUGCUUUCCAUGUCCCAAAGGAUCACAUUUUAUUUAAGAAAUAGAAAAAGACAUUAUUUUUGUUCUUCAUGCAACUUAUAAGUUAUAGAGAAUGAAUUUCUUUGAUUUUAGCAACUAAUAUUAUGAUUCCAACAUUUAGGGUUUUAUAUGUUUUUUUUUCUGUAUGAAUUUGAACUUGAGUUAGCCAUAAAAACCCCACCUUUAAUCUCAAUAUAUGAACUUGGCUUUGCUUCUUAUGGUUAUUAUUGUUUAAUUUAAUUAAUGUCUUGAAAGGGUAUUCUAGUUUAAUUUAAUUAACUAGUCCAUUUAUUUUGAUUGAUAAUGAUGUUGCAGGUGCUUAAUCUUUCCAUUGAAAUGGAGAAAAUCAACUACCAGGACGAGCUGAAGAAAGAGCGUAGGCUUGUUCGGAGUCUCGUAUACGAGAUCGGUUACAGGAAGGAACAGGUGUCCGAAAUGGAACAUAAAUAUGACAAGACAACCACGGCUUUUCAAGAACUCGUUGAUGGCCUUGUAGCGAAAAUUGACUCCAAGGACAGUAGUUUGCGGGAUUGGGAGCUUCGAUAUAAGGAAAUGGGGAAAUGGUACAUAAAUAUGAUGAGACGACCGCAGCUCUUCAAGGACUCGUCGAUGGCCUUGUAGAGAAAAUUGACUCCAAGGACAGUAGUUUACGGGAUUGGGAGCUUCGAUAUAACGAAACCGUGAGACAAUUGAAGGGCGAGAACGCGGUGUUUCACCUUGUGUUUGCUAAAGGUAUACUUUAGAUUAUAUAUUGCAUACAUAGCGAGCAGAAGACUAUGCAUUAAUCCAAUCGUGUACGAUGAACAACAUGUCGUUUUCGAAGUUCCAAGGUUUGCAUUUAGAGCUUUGAUUGAUCUUUAGGCUAUUUUACACAUCUAGUUGCUUAGUAUUAGAUUCGGUGAAGAAGUUGCAACUUUAGGAUAGUGAAGGAGACAUAAAUGUCAGGAUUCGAACCCCAAACUCUGCUUUUAUAUCUGUUAUCACGGGAACCGGAUGAACUUAUGGAAACGAGGCUUGGAACCUAAAAGGAAGCAUAUAUAUUUGAGAUAUUCCGAUUUUCUUCCUGUUGCUAAUGCUUCUAUCAUACACAUUAGGAUUAUGUGAUCUUAUAUAUAUACACACGCAUAUAUACGAGAUACUGAUGAAUUUCUGCCUCCUGUUAUUGCUUAUAUCAUAUGCUUUAUGGACUGUUGCUUUACAUUUUUUAUGCAGAAAUUCAGAAGGAAAGGGAUGAAAAUCUUAAGCUGAAGUGCCAACCUGGCUUUCGAACCAAGUUGGUCGAAGAUUAUAUAUCUCGUAAUGAUAACGAUAUGGAACGAAGUAGCUUGUUGAAUGAAAUGGAAGGGGUUAGCAUACUCAUCUUAAUUUUGGUUUUCGAUAUAUGAACUAUCUUUUGUCGAGUUUGUACCUUUGUGUAAAUGAAUCCUGUUAUCAUGUUUAGGUUCAACGUUUUUAAUGGUUAUGAUUUGCCGAGUAGACUUUUAACAAUUCGGAUUAUAUCUGAUAUAGCCGAAAGAGAAUGUGGCUUGCCAAAAUCUUAUUGAACUCGAGAAAACUACAAGCGAGCAGAUUACUGCUCUAAAGAAAGAGUUGGAGGAAAAAUCAGAAGCGUUGAAAGAUAUGGAAAACCGAAACAGUUGUCUAACGGUGAAACAAGUCCUAACUAAUCAAGAGCUGCAAGAUGUUCGAAAAGAAUCCAUACGUGUAUUUUUCAUGUUUUCCUUUGCUUCCUCCUAUGUUUCCUCUUCGAAAUCGGGUUUAAACUUGAAAGUGUUAAACCCAAGACUUCUCUGGUUUUUGAUGUGCAGGGUUUGAACGAUUUUCUGAAUAACCAGACUAAUCUUAAGAGUGAAAAGAACGGGAGAGAUUGAUCAAAAAGCAUUCAAAGUUGCUUGCUCGUUGAAGUUCCAGGACGAAGAUUGGCGAGAACCGUGUGCUAAAACAUGUUCAUUAUGUUGUUCCAAUAGGGUCGGAAGCGUGUAAAUUAUUGUACUAAAAAAUCACAAAAAGUUCAAUUCCCAGGGAAGAGAGGUGGAUCACAUGGAUCUCUUAAAUACCAAGUCUUUUCUUAGACAGAAUAUCCCUUCUAUAGUAAUUUAAUAGCACAAUUAAAUACUACUAUUAUACCCUCAAAUAUUGAAAGAAAAAUAGGACAAGAAAGAACACAAGAGAUUUAACGAGGUUCGGUAAAUUAUACCUACGUCCUCGGGCACUAACACCAGAUGAUAACUUUACUAUCCCCAAAGUAUUACAAACAAAUAGAAUUCCUUAAGAAUUCUCAAAUGGGAGAAGAGAGAAAACUAAGAGAGAAAGAUUGGUUGGGAUGAAUUGAAAUGAGAAAUGAGAAGGCCUAUUUAUAGUUGAGGUUCAAGGACCAAACAAUAAAUAGCACAUUAUCUCAAGGACCAAAAAAAAAUUAUCCCUUGCCACUUUUCCAAAGUUGGUGGUUGUCAUUAUUGAUUGUCUCCCAUUAAUGUUAAUGGCAACCAUUAUUAAUUGUCUAUCAUUAAUGUUAACAAUCUCCACCUUGAAGAUUUGAUUAGGAUAAUCACAUCUUCACACACUUCCUUCAACUCCCUAAAUUCGAUAAAGCUAUCUUUUGUAGUGCCUACAAAUGCGCUCUCGAGCGCCAUACACCUGAAGGUGCUCAAAUUCUCAGGAUGUUAAUCAAGUUCAAACAAUGAUUAAACUUGAUUGUUGUUACCACCUUGGUCAUCAUAUCUGCGGGAUUAUCUGCUGUCGGAAUCUUCUAAAGUAGAAUUUUUCCUUUUUCAAAGACUUCUCGCACAAAGUGAUAUCUUACGUCAAUAUGCUUGGUUCUUGAAUGAUAGACUUGAUUUUUCGCUAAAUGAAUAGCGCUCUGACUGUCACAAUAUAAACUUAUGUGACUUUGAACAACUCCUAAGUCUUUCAACAAUCCAUUAAGCCAAAUAGCCUCCUUAACAGCUUCUGUAACUGCCAUAUAUUCUGCCUCUAUAGUAGAUACAGCUACUGUAGACUGUAAGGUAGACUUCCAACUCACUGGGGCUUUCGCAAGAGUAAACAAAUACCCCGUAGUUGAACGACGUUUAUCUAAAUCACCAGCAAAGUCGGAAUCAACAUAUCCAACUACAAACUGACCAAGUGCUUCAUCCUGUUCAAAAAUUAAACCAACAUCUACGAUUUUUCAAAGAUACCGUAGAAUCCAUUUCACAGCUUGCCAAUGUCCUUUUCUAGGAUCAUGCAUAUACCUGCUCACAACUCCAACAGCUUGUGAAAUGUCAGGCCUCGUACACACCAUCACAUACAUCAAACUCCCAACUGCAUUAGUAUAUGGGACUUUCGCCAUAUAUUCUCUUUCUUCUUCAGUUUUCAGAGAUAAUUGAGCACUAAGUUUCAAAUGAGAAGCAAGUGGGGUACUUACAUGUUUUGUGUUUUCAUUUACACCAAAACAUUGUAAUACCUUUUUCAGAUAUUGCUUCUGAUUCAAACAAAGCUUGCCUCUCUGUCUAUCUCUACUUAUCUCCAUGCCGAGAAUCUUCUUGGCCUCACUUAGAUCUUUCAUCUCGAACUCUUGAUUCAACUGAGCCUUCAGCUUAUCUAUCUCUUUUUGGCUCUUCGAAGCGAUUAACAUAUCAUCAACAUACAAGAGUAGAUAAAUGAAAGAUCCGUCAUGCAGCUUCUGCAAAUACACACAAUUGUCAUAUUUGCUUCUUGUGUAUUUCUGCCUUCUCAUAAAGCUAUCAAAUCGCUUGUACCACUGCCUCGGGGAUUGCUUCAAUCCAUAUAGCGAUUUGUUAAGCUUACAAACCCAAUUUCUACCACCAGCAUCUGUGUAUCCUUCUGGCUGAGUCAUAUAGAUCUCCUCUUCUAACUCACCAUGCAAGAAAGUCGUCUUAACAUCAAGUUGAGCUAGCUCUAAAUUCAACUGUGCUACCAAGGCCAACAAAAUUCUAAUGGAGGAAUGCUUCACAACAGGGGAAAAUACAUCAUUGUAGUCAAUUCCCUCCUUCUGAGCGUAGCCUUUAGCUACCAAUCUUACCUUGUAGCGAAUAUCCUUCUUGCUAGGAGAUCCAUCUUUCUUUGCGAAUACCCACUUGCAUCCGAUUUCCCUUUUACCUUUCGGUAAUUGCGCCAACUCCCAAGUAUUGUUCUUCCGGAGAGACUGCAUUUCUUCAUCCAUGGCGCUUUUCCAUUUAUCACUUUCUAAGCUUUGCAUUGCUUCUUGAUAAGUGAUAGGAAUAUCAUCAACAACGGGAAGGGCGUAGGCCACCAUAUCAGUAAAUCGAGCAGGUUUACGAAUUUCUCUCCAUGGCCUUGCAACUGCAACUGGUUCUGGUGUACUUAGUGGUUCUUGGGUCAGAACCUCUUCAACCUCUAAUUCCUCCAUUGUGGCUGGAGAAUUAGACUUAUUAACUGGGCAAAUCCCCAUCUGCUCAAACUCCACCUAUUUUGGAGUACACUCCACCUGCUGUGGAGUAUUGCUCGUCUGAAUAUCUUUAUCUGCUACCUUUUUCAAUGUGGCAGAUUCAUCAAAGGUAACAUCUCUGCUACAGAUCAUUUUCUUUGUGCUUAAGCACCAAAGACGAAAUCCCUUCACUCCAGAAGUGAUUCCCAUAAAGAGAGCUUUUUUUGCCCUCGGAUCUAACUUUGACUCCUUCACAUGGUAAUAUGCAGUGGUUCCAAACACAUGUAAGGAAUCAUAAUCUGUAGCCGGUUUUCCAGACCAUACCUCCAUAGGAGUUUUUCUUUCUAAUGCAGAUGAUGGCAAACGAUUAACAAGAUGGCCAGUGUAUGUCACAGCCUCAACCCAAAAUUGCUUGCCCAACCCAGCAUUGGACAACAUACAUCAAACUUUCUCCAGCAAUGUUCGAUUCAUACGCUCUGCCACUCCAUUCUGUUGUGGUGUAUCCCUAACUGUGAAGUGUUGAACAAUACCAUACUCUUGGCACACAUCGAAGAACGGAUCACUUUUAUAUUCCCCUCCAUUGUCCGUCCUAAGCCGCUUGAUUUUCUUGCCAGUCUGGUUUUCGAUCAUAGUUUUCCAUUUAAGAAAAACUCCAAGCACUUCAUCUUUAGUUUUCAUGGUAUACACCCAAACUCUUCUGGAAAAGUCAUCAACAAAAGUAACAAAGUAGUGUUUUCCUCCCAACGAAGGUGUUUUGGAAGGCCCCCACACAUCUGAGUGAAUAUAUUCCAAAAUACCUUUUGUAUUAUGGAUAGCAGUGCCGAAUUUCACUCUCUUUUGCUUUCCCAGAACACAGUGCUCACAAAAUUUUAAUUUGCAAGCCUUUGCACCUUUCAACAAUCCUUGUUUUGCCAGAAUUUGUAAGGAUUUUUCGCUGGCAUGUCCCAACUUCAUAUGCCACAACUGCAUUGAGUCCAAGUCUUUGUUACCGGAAGCUGCAGCGACUGCUCCAAUAACUGUACUACCUUGGUAGUAAUACAAGUUAUUUUUCCUGAUGCCCUUCAAUAUCACAAGUGCGCCAGAUGUCACUUUCAAAACCCCAUCUCUCAUAGUAACAACUGAACCAUUGGAUUCCAAGGCUCCCAAUGAGAUGAGAUUUUUCUUCAAACUGGGCACGUACUGAACAUCAGUCAGAACUCUGGUUGAUCCAUCUUUAUUCUUUAAUUGGAUUGAACCUAUCCCAACAAUUUUACAGGCAUUGUCAUUGCUCAUAUAAACAACUCCUCCAUUUAGUUCUACUAAAUCAGAGAACCACUCCCGGUUAGGGGACAUAUGAUAGGUACAACCCGAAUCCAAUAUCCACUCAUCUGAAUGGAACGACGAUGAUGAUGCAACCAGUGAUAGUUCAGAGUCACUAGUAUCAUGCUUAGCAACACAAGCAUCUACAGCAGCUUUUCCCUUAUUCUUCAGCUUUGGACAAUUUUUCUUCCAGUGGCCUUUCUCAUGACAAAAAGCACAUUCAUCUUUCCCGAGUCUGGACUUUGACUUUGAUAUCCCCUUUUGAGUUUUCUUCCGAGUGUAUGAACGACCUCGGACUACUAAAGCUUCUGUAUCUCUGAUUGAGUUUUUCUGUUUGUCCUUCUUUCUCUGUUCAUAACUGUAUAAGGCCGCACAGACUUCGCUCAGAGAUAUAUCACUCCUGCCAUGAAGUAGAGUAGUUUCUAGGAACUCAAACUCCUCAGGAAGUGACCCCAACAGCAUCAAAGCCAAAUCUUCAUCUUUGAAUGUCUCAUCCAUAUUCAGCAAAUCAGUGACUAACUGAUUAAAUUUGGUGAUGUGAUCAUUCAUUGUGGUACUUACGUAUGUGAAGCGAAACAGUCUUUUCUUCAAGUGGAGCUUAUUUUGACUGUUUUUCUUCAAAAAAAUUUCUUCAAGUGCCACCCACAACUUAUUUGCAGAAGUCUCCUUUGAAAAAGCAUACAUCUGCUCUCGAGAAAGGCAUGAUCGAAUUGUGCCACAUGCCAACCGAUUGAUCGCCUUCCAAUCUUUCUCCUGUACAUCAUCUGGUUUCUCUUCAUCAAUGGCAAUGUCUAGACCCUGCUGAAAAAGGGCAUCUAGAACCUCACUUUGCCACAUACCAAAAUGGCCCGUGCCAUCAAAGAUUUCCACGGCCAAUCUUGCAUUUGCAAUUGUCGGUCUUGUCCACAUGGACGAUGUUGAAGCUCCUACACCGACCGUUUUCUCCAUAAUCUUUCAAUAUAUCUAAGGAAAUCUUUUCUGAUGUGGAAGAUCAGUUUAAACUGCAACCACAGAGCAUACUACGAUUAACCUUCGGCUCUUGAUACCACUUGUUGUUCCAAUAGGGUCGGAAGCGUGUAAAUUAUUGUACUAAAAAAUCACACAAAGUUCAAUUCCCAGGGAAGAGAGGUGGAUCACAUGGAUCUCUUAAAUACCAAGUCUUUCCUUAGACAGAAUAUCCCUUCUAUAGUAAUUUAAUAGCACAAUUAAAUACUACUAUUAUACCCUCAAAUAUUGAAAGAAAAAUAGGACAAAAAAGAACACAAGAGAUUUAACGAGGUUCGGUAAAUUAUACCUACGUCCUCGGGCACUAACACCAGAUGAUAACUUUACUAUCUCCAAAGUAUUACAAACAAAUAGAAUUUCUUAAGAAUUCUCAAAUGGGAGAAGAGAGAAAACUAAGAGAGAAAGAUUGGUUGGGAUGAAUUGAAAUGAGAAAUGAGAAGGCCUAUUUAUAGUUGAGGUUCAAGGACCAAACAAUAAAUAGCCCAUUAUCUCAAGGACCAAAAAAAAUUAUCCCUUGCCACUUUUCCAAAGUUGGUGGUUGUCAUUAUUGAUUGUCUCCCAUUAAUGUUAAUGGCAACCAUUAUUAAUUGUCUUCCAUUAAUGUUAACACAUUAUGGCAACAUAAUGUGCAGGAUCCGAAUUGGCACCCGUAUAAGAUGAUCAACAUCCGAGGCAACUUGCAUACACCGAUUGCUCAGAAAACCGUACUGUUAUCAAACAUCUGUUGUUCUACGAAAUGCGAGCUGGUUCAUUACUCAAAACUUACAUAUUAAUGGGAUGCCUUCUCGGUAAUGCAGGAAAUAAUAGACAAGGAUGAUGAGAAGCUGAAGGAGUUGAGAAAUGAAUAUAGUGACACAGCGUACGAGGCUGUCAGCACCGCACUGAUGGAAAUGAACGAAUAUAAUGCCAGCGGAAGGUAUGCGAUCCCGGAAGUUUGGAACAGAAAGGAGGGAAGGAGCGCUACCAUGAAAGAAAUCGUUCAGUACGUCGAGCAACUGAAGAUUCACAAGCGUAAGCGAUUUUCUUAAUGCUGAGCUUAGCAGUCCAUUGCUUUCAUGGAAAAUAAGUAGAAUUAUACACAAUCCUUAGGUAGGUAUUAAAUUUUAGAAUUAUAUUUGACAUUAAAAAGAGCUAUUUGUUCAUUCCAGCAUGAGCUCCAAAAUUAGGCUCCAUAUUUACAAACCUAAAUUAAACUUACUCCAUAUUUACAAACAGAAAUUAAACCUACCUACGAUAGUUGCAUAAAAAAAUAUUAUCAAUUUAAAAAAAAAAGUAAUUAAGUUGUUGGUAUUUUUCAUUUAAUUAAAUACUUCACUUUUUAAAAUGUAUCAAAAACUUUCUUUAAAUUUUAAAAAAUAAUAAUUAAAUCUUUGUUUUUCUUUUACAUACUCAAUGGCUACUUCAACUAUCAAAAAAAAAAAAAAAAGAAAAGACUUUUUGACAAUUAAAAGUAACUGCUUUAAUUUUUUUAGUUAAAGUCAUUCAGCGUCACAACCAUACAGGCGUGAUGUGUAAUAAAAAAUUAUAAAAAAUAAAAAUUAAUAAAAUUAUUAAAUUCUAAUAAAAAAUAUAAAAAUAUUUAAAAUUUAUUUAAAAUGUCAUAAAUGUAUAAAUAAAAUAUAUUAAAAAUGUUAUUUAACCACUAACUUUAAUUGUUGACUAGUAAAGUCCAUAAUUUUUUUUUCAAUUAAAGCCAUCAUGUGUCGCAAUGCAAUGUGACCUGUGAUGAAAAAUUAUAAAAAUAAAAAUCAAUAAAAGUUACAGAAAAAUUAAAAAAUAUUUCUUUUGGUACAAUAAUUUUUAUAAUUUUUUUAUAAAUUUUAUAUUUUUAAAUUUUUAUAAUUUUCUUACUAUUUUAUAAAAUUUUAUAACUUUUGCAUUUUUUUAUAAUUUUAAAUAUUUUAUAAUUUUUAAAUUGUUUAUAAAUUUUAACUCUUUUUUAUUAAAAUUUAAUAAUUUUUUAACUUUGAUUUAUUUUUAUUUUUUUUAUAUUUUUUUACAUGUCACACUAUAAUUGUGACCUUUAGUGUUUUACCAAAAUAUUAGGAGUGGUUAAUUUUAACAUUCAACCGCUAAAAUUAACAAUCACAAGACUUUUAACAGUUCAAAUAUUCAAUUGGAUAAAAAAAUUUAUUAUUUAAUAAAAUAUAUUAAAAUAAGGGUUUCGACUCAAAUCAUGAUGAAUUGAGCCAUCGAACUUGAGAAAUUAAAAUGUGAACAGAAAUGGGCUCUUCAAAAACCCUUACCCGAGCCCAAGAAGAUCCCCCAAAAACCUUCAACUUAUAACCCUAAUUUGCCUCUCAACUACACUAUAAAUCCUAUCUUCAACAAGACUCAUUCAGCAUUUAUAUCUUCUAAAAAACCCUUCGUUCGUCUAAGGUUUCUCUUUAGAAAUUUUCUCUUCGCAGAGAGUAAUUUUUGCCUUCAUUUUUUUUUCUCUUUAUUUUCCCAUUUUCAAUCUGGGGUUUUUUCCAAAAUGAGUUAAAAAUCCAAUCUUUACACUAGAUGUGAACCCUAAUCACAUUUAUUUUAUCUGGGUUUUGAAUAAAAUCUACACUUGUUUGUAUACUUAUGAAAUAAAAGAACCAUUUUUAAUGCUUUGUUUCUUAACAAGAGUGCAGAAAUAAAAAGCUUGAUUUUUUGCUUCUUUUAAAACAAAGAAACCAAGGAUUAAGCAGCGGCCAGACAACCGUAGCGAUGAUAUCCACAGAUGAAGGGCUAAUUUCUUCUUUAAUCCCUUUUUUGUCUACUGAUUCCAUCUCACAUUUCGUUUUUUAAGUUUUUAGGGUUCAUCACUUUUGAAUUGAUUGAAAAAGCUCUAAUCAAAGUUGAAACUUGGUUAAAAAAUGGGUUUUUUUAUAUGAUUUUACCAUUUUCAAUGCUUUUUUUUUAUGUUUUUUCAAUUUGUAAAAUCAAAUGAGAAACAAUCUCAAAAAAGAAAAAACGACAUUAAUCUAUCAAUCAAUCAAACUGAUUUUGAUUUGAUCAGAUAAAAAAUCAUUAAAUAUCAUAUUCAUGGGAAUUGCAGAGGUUUACUGUUGUAAUUCUUACGAUAUUUUAUCAGAUAUAUUUUACAUCUUAAUAUAUCAUUAAUAUAAAGUCAAAUUUUUUUAACAGGUUAUAUUUUGAUAUUAGUCCCUAUAUUUUGUUGAAGUUAUGAAUUUAGUCUCUAUAUUUUUUAAAUUUUAAUAUUUUAGUCUUUAUUAAAUGAUAAUUGUUAAAAGUUAAAGUUUUGUUAUUUUUAAAAUCUAUUGCAUCAAACAUAUUAUCACAUGCUCAAUGUCAUGUCAACUUGUUAUUUUCAUGUAUUCUUUACUAAAAAUUUAAGGGUAAAUUAUCAAAAUAGUCACUUUUGUUUGACUCAGGUUACAUUUUAGUUACUUACGUUUGAAAUGUUACGUUUUAGUCACUUAUGUUAUCACGUUGUAACAUUUUAGUCACUGAGCCGUUAGUUUUUGUUAACGGUGCAACAGUAAACUGAUGUGGCACGUUAAAUCAUCAUUUCAAACAAAAAUUCUAGGUUAACUUAUACAAUCGGUCCUCAUAUUUUUUCGUUUUGAGCAAUUUAAUUUUUUUCUUUUAUGUUUUUUUUAACUUUCUUUCUUUUCCAUUCUCUUAUGCUUCUCUCUUUGUUUUCCUCCCUUCUCCAUUUCUUUCAACGUAGUUUUUCUAUGUUUUAUUUUUUUGAACAAUUUAAUUUUUUCGAGUGAGGCGAGCUUGUGGACUAGUUACAAAUGGAAAGCAUAGAAAAACUAUGUUAAAAGAAAUAAAGAAGGGAGGAAAAUAGAGGGAGAAGAAUAAGAGAAUGGGAAAAAAAGUUAGAAGAACAAAAAAGAAAAUUUUUAAAUUGUUGAAAAUGAAAAAAUAUAGGAACCAAUUGUAGAAUUUAACCUAAAAUUUUCGUUUGAAAUGAUGAUUUAAUGUGCCACAUCAACUUAUCGUCCAUUGUCGACAAUUAACGACUCAGUGACUAAAAUGUUACAACACGAUAACGUAAGUGACUAAAAUGUAACAUUUCAAACAUAAGUGACUAAAAUGUAACCUGAGUCAAACAAAAGUGACUAUUUUGGUAGUUUACCUAAAAUUUAAUUAAUAGAUUAACAACUGUUAUUUGAGUCGAAACUAAAAUAUAAAAAAUUACGACUUAAACUGAUCCAAUUAAAACAUAUGGACUAAAUCUACAACUGUGCUUACAAUACAUAAUUAGCAAUUGAAUUUAAACAAUUAGAUUUAACAAUAACUAUUUGUGUUAAAAGACUAAAAUUUAAAAAAGUACAGAGAGUAAAUUUGAAAUUUUGACCAAUUUGAAAAGUACAGAGACUAAAACUAACUAAAUUAAAGUACAAUGACUAAAUCCAUAAUUUUUAUAAAGUACAAGGAUUAAUAGAAAAUUGUAACCUUUUUAAUAAAGUAAUUUUGAUUUUUAUUAAUUUAUUUAUAUCUUUUGCUUUUGUAAAUAUAAUAUUUUUAAAUAUUAUUUUGAUUUUUUAUUAUUUUUCAAAAGUUUUUACUUUUAGAAUGAAUGGUCUAAUUUAACCUUCAGUCCAAUUCUUACAAAAUUGAUAAACACUAACAAUGCAUAAUUUAAUAAAACUUUUCAAGUAAUUUAUAAAAAAACACUCAAAUUAAGUAAAUUAAACACACAUUUCAUUUUAAAUUAAAAUUAUAAAUAUUUAUGUGUUAAAAAAUAAAAAUAAAGUAUCAUCGAAGCUGCGGGCUGCAAUCUUCCCAAGCAACUUCAGCCCCCAUUACUUCCCCACUCUUUUUUUUCUCUUUUUACCAACACUCAGAAAAUCAAAAUUUUACCACACUUUCCCUCAUUUUCCCGGAAAAUAAAAUAAAGAUAUUAAAACCAAACAAAAAUCCAAAAAAGGAACUCGGUGAAGAUUUAGAUUUAGACCCUGAAAUUUUUGCCAGUGAAAGUUUGACCAAAUUGCCAAUGAGAAGGGACAAUGUUCCACGAAGUAGAGGUCCGAUGGUCGCUGCCGGUGACCCUAGACGACAGAGAUUGGCCGACUAAAACGGCGUUGGAUUGCCAGUUUUGGCCUCAGUUUCGGCUCAUGCUCAUCCACUCCGUUUUCGACCCUUUAAUGCUUGCUUUCACGAUAUCGCCGGCGCCGGCCACGUUUGUGAUUAGGACCAAGUUGAAGUAUCGGAAACCGUUGAUUGUGAAUCUGAUUCCUCCUCGUUUCUGGCAUGGCACCCUGAAGAAUCAUACGAAAAAGGAAAUGAAGAUUGGGUCAAAUCUAUUGACACUAAUUGUUGAAGUUCGAAAAUCGGUCUAAUAUUUAAGAAGGUAAAAGCGUUUGAACGGGAUGAGAUCAUCUCAACAUAUUGGUUAGACCGCGAAUCGAUUAAAAUAUCGGAGAAAGUAACUUGAUCAAUUAACUCGAAACUAAUACAAAUCAAGAAAAUUACUAGACAAGUUAACUCGGGAUUUGAUACAUCUAAGUUUGAUUUUUAUUAUAUAUAAUUUUAAUUUCGGUUUUAAAAAUAAAAAGCUAAGGGAAUAUACCUUCUAAAAUAGAGAAUAAAAGGGGCGCAACUGGCUAAUCCUUUGUUCUAUUGGCUAUUGCUAAUGCCUUGGAAGUUGAAAGUGUACCUUACUUUGAUUAGUGAAUGGCCGAAUAUGCUUACAAGAAUAAAUUAAGAAAUUCAACGUGGCUUAACAUACAUUUGUAUUUACUGUCACAUGAAUUUGGAUAACAACGAUUGAGAUGGAGAGAAAAAUCAUAUCCAAUUAUGUUUAACACUAGCAUUACGUACAUAAGCUCACACCGACUGAAGAAAACUUUACAUAUACAAGUAGAAGAAAUUUCCGAAUGAACAAAGUCAGUCUUCGCAUCCUAGUUGUUGUUCCAUUCAAUCUCUGUAUGCCCAAAAGAAAAUGAGAGAAAACAAUUACUACGACUAAUGACAUUGUUGAUAACAGGAAAUAUCAUUGUCAGAGAAUUCAAGACUCAAGAGGGAGCAUAUAUAAUUAAUCUAUACUAUAUUACCAUACAUAUGCCCUCAAAUAUUUUUAAAAUUAAUCGUUCAAAUCUAAAUAUAUAUUUGAAAAGAGUAUACGAUAUUAUAAAGGAUCGUAAAAAUCGAAAUAAUAUUUAAUUCUAUAUCGUCUUCUAGAAAGAACAUGAGCUAUGGUGAUAAAAUAUUCGAAUUAUUCCUCUAAUCUCAUUUAUAUCAUAAUUUAAAUUUGAAGAACUUACGAGUAUCGAUGAGAAAACCCACAGGGUCUUUAAUGAGGGAGUUGUUUUAAUUUCUUGACUUAAAUUCAUUGAUUCUAAGGAAGCCUUUACAAACAGACAUAAUUAUUAAUUGAUCCAAUUUCAACAGCAUAAAGUAGGAUCAUAGGAUAAGGGCUUAGACAGAAACAACUUUAUUCUUUUUCUUUUAUGAGCGAAUCCAAAAAUUUUAUGUUGGGAGUUGUUUUUCCGCAAGUGGUGGGAACGGGCAUCAAUUAUUGCUUAAAAGUUAAGCUUGUAAUUUACAAUCAAGGCAUCCAUCAUUUUCUUCAUCCUGGUUAAUGAUAAUUCGAGAUAAAUGUUCCAUUUCCAGUUAAAAUAAAAAUUUUCUCAAGUUAAUUGUUUGAGGAGUAAAUUUAAAAAUAAUAAUAAGAUUGUUUUCUAAAUUAUAAAAAUAAAGAUACAUCAAAAUUAAAAUUUUAAAAAUAUAAAAAUUUUAAAAAUUAACAUAGAAUACACAUAGAUUGCUAUGUAGGUUGUCGUGUUUAAAAAUUUAACAUUUUAAUUAGUAUUCUAGUUUUUUUUUAAAAAAAACAUCAUUUCAGCUCUUUUUCAAAACUAAUAAAUAAGAUUAGAAAACUAAAAAUCGAAUAAAGAAUCGAAUUUAACUAGAUGUUGAGGCUUGUUUUACACAGUUUCCUUAACACAAAUUUGUCCGCUUCUACGGUACUUGGAGAAACAUUGGUCGACUGUCUCCCAUGAUACAAUAACACGAUGACUGAAAUAGCAUCACCUUUACAUGAAAUUGGCUGAUAUUAUGACGAUACUAGGUAGCAUAGAUAUCAUUAUGGGAGAAGUGGAUCGUUGAAAUGAUAAUUUAUACGACAGAAGUAGAAUAUAUCAAUUCCUUUUACACAUUGGAAUCUUUAAAAGAGGUCUAUGGGAUCAUAUGGAUGUUGGUCCCUAUUUUGACUCUUGUUUUGGGAAUCACAAUAGGUGUACUAGUAAUUGUAUGGUUAGAAAGAGAAAUAUCUGCAGCAAUACAACAACGUAUUGGGCCUGAAUACGCCGGUCCUUUGGGCAUUCUUCAAGCGCUAGCAGAUGGAACAAAACUGCUUUUCAAAGAAAAUAUUUUUCCAUCUAGAGGCAAUACUCGUUUAUUUAGUAUUGGACCGGCUAUAGCAGUCAUAAGAGACCAAUGAACAAACCUUGCAUUUUUCUGUCACCGGAACGUUGGAAAAUAUAGAGAGGAAAAGAGAAGAAUUUUCGAGAGCAAAAUAAACUUGGUUUUAGAGAGUCUUUUAGUGUAAAAAAUUUGAAGAAUUCUUAAGCAUUCAAGAUGGAGGAAUUUUGGAAAUAUCCAUAAUUAAAUAUAUAAAAUUUGUAUUAAAUGAGCAAUUAAAUCAUAAUAUAUGUCUUUUUUAAAUUAGAUUUUAUAUAUAUUUGCUGAGAAAAAUAAAUUUUGUGUUGGGCUUAAAAUAUCUAUCCCUUUUUGGGCCUGACCAGUUUAGACAUUUCACGUUGCCUACGUCGUGCGAGUGCGCUCCAACCCCGAUGGGUUUGGAUCUACACCCCUGCGCGUGAGACAAAGUUUCAAACUUAGUCAUUCAAUCAUCCUUCAAGUGGGUUCUCAUAUAUAGAGACAUCUCACACUUGGUAUUCAAUCAAUGUGAGAUCUAAGCUUUUCUUUUCCUCAACAAAUAUUCACAAGUAACUUACUUUGAGCAUUAAUUUCUCACUUAUCACUCAACCAUUUUGAGCAUACGAUAUACUGUUGUAAAGAUAUCAUUGAGUAGAAUAUAAAAUCAUAAUUUUAUGAUUCAAUUCUCCACCUUUACCAAUUGAGAAUAUGCUUUAAAGUUUCCAAAAAUUACAAUUUUUUCAACAUUUUAUACAUCUAUUUUAAAGGCAUAAUUGAGCCAAGUAGAGCCCGAAUAAUGACAAGUUGAACUUGACUCGAACAUCACUUUUUAAGGUCAAUCUUGAUUUAGAACAUAAUUGAGUUGAUUAAGCUCGUUUAUCAAUUUUUAUAAUCAAACCCAUUCAUAAUUAAGCUCUUUCUAUAUAUCAAGGAUAAAAAUGUAACUUCAUAAAUAAAAAUAUAUUUAAAUGGAAUGCUUAAUUAGGUUUGUGGCCUACUUGAAUCAAGUAUUACAAUAUUUAAAUUCGACUCAACCAAUAGCUCGAGCUCUACUCAAUAAUUUUCAAUAAAAUUUUGAGAUUUUUUGAAUCCAACUCGAAUUGCUUGCAAAUAUUAAUGUAUCACUUAUGCUUUUAAUUUUAAAUUUACAUUUUUAAUUCUUAAAAUAUUAUUAAAACCCAAUCAAUUGAAGGCUUUGUAGAAAGUGGUGGCAAAGUGCAUCCUUUACUUUAGGUCUCACUAUAUCUAAAAAGAAAUUAAUGCGAACCGUAGAAAGUGGUAGGAAUGUGCAUCAUUAUUGCUUUAAAAGAAUUUAAAUCUUUAAACGGAUAGAAUUAAAUUUUCAUAAUUUGGAGGAGUUAAAGUGUACUUCUUUUUACUAUUUUAAAAUUUUAAAAUUUUAAAAUUUUUUAAAGAGUUAAAAUAACAUUUUUUAUUUUAAGAGGGCCGAGCUCCCUGUCAACCUCUAGAUUUACCUCCGUAAAUUUCAAAAUUCAGUUAAAUUAUGUUAUUUUGAAUAAAACGUUAAUUGAUAAAGAAAUUCUUUUAGUUUCAAAAAUUCAAUUUUUCUGUUUUAAAAAAAUAUAUAUUAAAAUUUAAAAUUUAAAAUAUUAAAGUAAUAAAAUUUAAAUAUAUCAAUGUCUUUUUGAUACAUGCAUGAAUGGGGUGAAACUUAUUAGAUUCCAAUCAUCAAAACUGCCAAUUUUCAGGCUCGGAAAAUCAGCAGACUUGCGGCGACUGGAUCCUGGUAUUUUUGGGUUGAGAUGUCUCAUGGCGUUUAAAGAUCUAUCUCUUAGCUUUGAAACGCAUUUUGAAUAACUCGAUUUUGAGUUCGGGAGCUCAAGUUAUGACCGUUUUAGUGAAGACUACGCGAGAAGAAUUUCUGAACGGGAUUAUGACGGGAAUUACAAAUUUCGGGCUUUUAAUUCGAGUUUAAAUCAUAUUGGAUUCGGGUUUUAGACUUAAUUUUUAUUAUAUAUGAGCCCAAUAUUAUAUUUGUCAGAUCUUAUUAUUUUAUUAUUAUUUUAUUCUAAUUUUUUUUAUAAUUAUUAAGUAUUUUAAGUUAUUAGAGUUCUAGUAUUUUAAGCUAUAAAGGCCAGAAAAAUGUAUUCUUGGGGGUGAUUUUUGAAGGUAAAAAAGCAACAGAAAAUCAAUACAAAAUAAUCAAAAAUUUCAAACAAAAAAAGAGAGAUUUAGAAGGUAGUUUUUUUUUCUCUGUUUUUGUUUGUUUUAUUUAUUAUUUUUUCUUUCUUUUUCUAAACAGAAACACAGAAAAUAAAACGGGACCGAAAACUCACCUUUUUAGAGGGAGGGCUGAGAGAGAGUUGAGCAAGAAGAGAAGGAUUUUUUUUUUAAAAAAAUGAGGUUACCAAUGAUUUUUUAAAGUUUUUUUAAAUUAUAUAAACACCCCAAAACGACGUCGUUUUGAGUUUGGCUUCUGACACUUAAAACGGCGUCGUUUCACCCUUGACCCGCGUGCGACCUGACUCGCUCCAUGGGGAUCCUCGUGUUUUCAAUUUUUAGGCUAUUUACGCCUCUGGUCAUCCCGCGUUUUCCGGUUGUUUUAAUUUAGUCCCUUUUUUACUUUUUUUCUCUUUAUAUAUUUGGCCAUUGAUUUUGUGGCGUGUUUUAAUUUAGUCUCUGGCUCGCUAAAAAGGACGCGUGUCAAGGAGAUCGGGUUAUUUUCCCAUUUGGUUCUCGUUUGUUUUCGGGCCUUUCGAAUUAGUCCUUUGUUCUUUUUUUAUCUUAAUUUAUCCUGCUAAUUUAAUUUGAGUAGCAAUCGGGUCCUUUAUUCAUUUAUUUUUGUGUAUCUUUAUUGUGUAUCUUUAUUUAUUUUGCUUUAUUAUUUUUACUUUAUUACUCCUUUUUAUAUAUUUGUUUAAAAUUGGAUUGUGUAUAUGUUUAUUAGUUUUUUUUUUCUUUUGGUUAUCAUUCUUUUACUUUUUAAAUAUUUAAAUCUAAUAUUAUGAACAUUUACUUUAUCUAUUUACUUAUUUAUUUAUUAUUCUUUUACUUUUCAAACGCUUAAAUUUAAUAUUAUUUACAUUUGUUUUAUCUAUUAUUCACUUAUUUUUUCUUUUACUUCUAAAGAAAUUUUAAAUUCGAUAUUAUUCGUAUUUGUUUUAUUAAUUUAUUUUUUAUAUUUCAAUUUAAUGAUAUUUGUUUUAUCUAUCCAUCAAUUUAUUAUAUAUAUAUAUAAUUAGAUACCACUUAUAUUCAUUAAGCAACUUUCAUUUUCAUUUAUAUUUUGAAUUAUUUUAUUUAUUGUGUUGUGGUGUUAUAAAUUGAUUUUUUUAUUAUUGCUAUAUUCACUGUUAUUGCCAUAGUAUUUGGUCAUUUAGUUGUCAUUUAGUAUCCUAAUAUAAAUCGUACUCAUAGUCAUAUCACAUUAUUUCAUUACCAUUGUAUUAUACACUAGGUUCACACAUAUUUAUCCAUUUUUUUAUAGACGAUGCCCGAAUUAAACAUGUAUGCCUUGUAAGUGUUACAUUAAUAUUUUAUUCGGUGCACAAAAAGAAAAUUAUUUUAAAUAAGUAAUAUUUCGUAUUUUAGAAUUCGUAAAUUCGUUCCUUAACUUACGGAGUUUCGAUCUUCUCGAUAAAUCUAAAUAAAUGAACCUUUUUUAAAAACAUAAGUUUUUAAAUAAUCUCAGGAAUUAAGAAGAGAUCGUGUUCUAACUUAAUGGAUAUGGUUUCAUUCUAAAACUGAGAUAAUCGAAUAUCUUUUAAAAUAAAUAAAUUUUCGGUGUUUAUUCUCGUUUCGAGGAUUUAAGGUAUUGCGUCCUAACUUACGGGAAGUAAUCCUUUUUCUCGAUUAACGUAAAAUAUUUUUUUGUAAAAAUUCAAUUAAGCGAUAUUGUAACAAAGGAUGGUAUUUUAAAUCUCUUUAAAGUUUUUAAUUUUCGACAUUAAAACAUUAAUUCAUCAAUUAGGUACCAAUUUUUGGCGAGACGAGUGUGCUAAUCUUUCUUCGCACAUAACCGACUCCCGAACCCGUUUUUCUUAAAUUUCAUAGACCAAAAUCAUUAUUUAAGUAAAAUCGAAACGUUUUAUUAAAAUGAUUAAAUUACAAGGUGAUCCGAUCACAUCUCGAAAAAAUAUCGGUGGCAACUCCAGUUUUUUCAUUUUCAUUUUUAAAAUAAAAGUAGACCCCUUUUGUUUCAAAAAUGGAGAAAGUGUGUUCCUAUCUUUUGUCAGCUUUACCAAAAGGGAAAAUAAUUGGCGAUAGAAUGUUGCUUUCUUUUGUCAACUUUUUAGCUGUAUCCACUAAAUGAUAAGAACUGCAUUCUCAAGUAUUUGUGUUUCUUUAGGAUUCUAUUGUUUACAUCUCAAUUUUUUUUUUACAUUGAGUUGCACUUUGUCAAAUUACUUCUCGCAUUACUCUGUUAAGAAAAUUAUCUUUUCGCUCGUUCGUAACUACGAGAACUAAUCGCUGAAUCCUUCUCUUAUUCGUUGGAAAGGUACGCCAUCUGCUUUCAUUUUGGUUGAUUUGGUCUUACUUCUUGGUUUACAGAAGCUUUACUUUUUGCUCAUUUGAUUUGUAACUUUUUCUUCUGAUUUUGUUUUAAUCUUUGUUGUCGCUGUGGUUAUUCAGUUUACUUCUUGUUUGACCUCUCAAUGGAGUCUGUUACUACCCUAGUUGGCUCUAUUGUCACUAAAGCUGUAGAGUAUACGAUCUCUCCUAUCAAAAACCAUGUCAAAUACCUUUCCAAUCAUCAGCAAUAUGUUGAGACCCUCAAGGACCGAGCUGAGAGGCUGAAAGAUGCAAGGGACAGAGUGCAGCAUUCUGUUGAUGCAGCUCAACGAAACGGUGAAGAGAUCGAAGGGGAUGUUGGCAAAUGGUUGUCUGCAGUCGACAAAAAGAUUCUUGAACAAGCAGAGAAAGUGAUGCAAGAUGAAGAAAAAGCAAAGAAAAAGUGUUUCAUUGGUUUGUGUCCUAAUUUCAGGACUCGUUACAAGCUUAGCCUGAAAGCCGAAGAGGAGGCAAAGGCUGUUGCCGAGCUACUUGAACAUGGCAAGUUUGAAAGGGUUUCCUAUCGUGCAGCUCCGCAAGGUAUCGUGGUUGCACCAGUUAAAGGUUAUGAGGAAUUCGAGUCAAGAACGUCCAUUUUCAAUGGAAUAAUGGAGGCACUAAAAGAUGAUAGCGUCAGCGUUGUUGGGGUGCAUGGUAUAGGUGGGAUUGGAAAAACAACGCUGGUCAAAGAAAUUGCUAGAAAGGUCAAGGACAAGUUGUUUGAUUCGGUUGUCAUAGCAACCGUAACUCAAGCCAUCGAUAUUGAGAAGAUUCAGAACCAAAUUGCAGACUUCUUGGGCUUGAAAUUUGAGGAACAGAGUAUGGUUGGAAAGGCAUUUCGACUACGAGAAAGAUUGAAGAAAGAGGAGAGGAUUCUGGUUGUCUUGGAUGACAUUUGGGGAAAGGUUGAUAUUGAGGAAGUAGGGAUUCCUUUGGGAGAUGAACACAAGGGCUGCAAAUUACUAUUAACUUCUAGAGAGCUCAAUGUUUUAUCAAAUGGGACGGAUGCUCAGAAAAAUUUUCCCAUUGGGUUUUUAAAUGAAAAGGAAGCCUGGGACCUGUUCAAGAAGAAGGCUGGCGACUGUGAUGAAAGUUGCGAUUUGAAGCCUAUAGCUAUGGGGGUAGCCAAAAAAUGUGCAGGACUGCCGAUAGCUAUUGCGACAGUUGCAGGGGCUUUGAGAAACAAAAGAUUGUUUGAAUGGAAGAAUGCUUUACGAGAACUGGAGAGGCCUUCGUCAAGCAACUUCACGGGGAUAACUGCGGCAUAUUCAGCUAUAGAGUGGAGUUUUAAUUAUUUAGAAAGCGAGGAAGUUAAGCGGACUUUCUUGCUUUGCAGUGUAAUAGGCCAUAAUGGUCUCGUUGAGGACUUGGUAAGAUACACUCUAGGUUUGGGUUUAUUUGAUGGUGUCAACACUAUGGAAGAAGCUAGAAAUAAAGUAUUGACGGUUGCGGCUAAUCUCAAAGCGUCUGCCUUGUUGCUUGAUAGUUAUAAUGAUAAGCGCUUUGAUAUCCAUGAUGUUGUUUGGGAUGCUGCUAUAGCUAUUGCAUUGAAGGACUACCGUAUGCUUGUUUUGAGAGAUCAUGCUCCAAAGGAGUGGUCCGAUAAGGAGAAAAUGAAGACGUGGAGUGUGAUCAGCUUACGUUGUCCUCAGAUUAUAGCUAACCUUCCUAAGGAGAUGGAGUGCUCAGGACUUUCCUUUUUCCACAUGGCCUAUAAUGGCGCGGUUAAAAUUCCUCUCAAUUUCUUCAAACAAACCGUAGGCCUGAAAGCCUUAGAUUUGGUCGGAAUGCAGUUUCCAUCCCUCCCUGAAUCAAUUAUUCACCUUGCAGAGCUUCACAUGUUGUGUCUAAAAGGAUAUGCAGUUGAUGACAUAACCAUCCUUGGAGAGCUCAAGAGUUUAGAAGUACCCAACCUUUCUCGCUUAGGUAUCAAAGAACUACCUAAGGAGAUGGCACAAUCGACUCAAUUAAGGUUGUUAGAUUUGCGUGGGUGUAGAGAACUCAAAAUCAUCCCACCGAAUGUCUUAUCAGGUUUGUCUAAAUUAGAAGAAUUAUAUAUGAGUAGGAGCUUUGUUGAAUGGGAAAAGGGAGGAGUAGUUGAAAAUGAGAGGAAAAAUGCAAGCCUUGAUGAAUUAAACAAUUUGCCUUGUCUAACUACUUUAUAUGUUGAUAUUCUUGAUGUCCAAAUGAUACCAAAACACCGGUUUGUAGAAACAUUGGACAGAUUCAGGAUUUUCGUAGGUAAUUAUGGAGGAUAUAAUUGUUGCCAGAAUUAUGAAUCUCCGAAAGCAUUGAAGCUCAAGUUAUAUACAAACAUUGAUUUGGACAAUGGGAUGAAAAUGUUGUUGAUAAAGACAGAAGAUUUGUGCCUAGAGGGACUUGAAGGCGUCAAGAAUGUACUUGUGGAGUUAAAUAAUGGGAAAGAUCUUUCAAAUUUAAAGAGAUUUCAUGUCAAAAAUGGUAGGCACGUCCAACAUAUCAAAAUGAACAAAAUUGGAUUUUCUGAAUUAUGCUUCGUUAAACUUGAAAAUCUACCGCAACUCGUUAGCUUUUGCUCUCCAGACGAAAGGUGUUCCACUAAGCCCUUAUUACUUUUCAAUAAACAGGUAUUUGUUUGGCUUUACUUAUAUUUUCUUAUACUACUUUUAUUUAUAUGCCCAUUAAUACUUCUAAUAGUAGAAAUAAAUAAUAUUGUGUAAUGGUUUCUCCGGAGCUCAAAAAUAAAUUUCAAAUCCAAAACAAAUUAAAAUUUAAUUUUUAAUCCAAACCGAUUCAAAAUCAAUUCAAUAAUCUAAAUUUAAAUCCAACAAUUUUUUUUAAUUCUGAGAAUAAAAUUUGAGCCCACAAAUCGAACUAAAAUUAUCUUUAAAAUAAAAAAUCAUAUUUUCAAAUUAUGUUACAUACUAUCUUUCCCUAUGGAAAAAGAAUUGUGUAAAUAUGUGCAAUUUAUUUUCCCUCACUUGGAAAGCUUGUAAUUGUGUUCCAUUAACACGAAAAGAAUAUGGCACAACCAGACAUGUCAUUGGGUUACGAAUUUGAGGAGCUUGAUCAUCAAAGGAUGCGGCAAGUUGGAGCAUCUGUUAUCACCCUCUCUCGCUAGAAGUCUGGUGCAGCUCCAAUGCUUUGAGAUAGAGGAUUGCAAUUGCUUAAGGGACAUAAUACUUACAGAGGAAAUUGAAGAAGCAAGGAAAGAUGUGAUUUGUUUCCCUCGAUUAAACUCCCUGCAUAUAGAUCGUCUUCCAAACCUCAUCUUCUUCAACUCAGGAAACCACAAUAUUGAGUUCCCAUUGUUGAAAGUGCUAAAGAUUCAGCGUUGCCCCAAGUUAAUAGAAUUCAUUAGUCAGAAUAGUAAUCAGUCCGGCAUGCACGCUCUCUUCAGUGAGAAGGUGAUUUAUUUCAUUAGUCUUACAUUCUUGCAUAAAUCUGUUGAUUUGUCCUUGUUUUUUUUUCUGCCUUCAUUAUUUGAGCUAACCUUAUCAUGGGCAUGGAUUAUAUAUAUAUAUAUAUAUGAAUAUAUAUGAAUAGGUUGCAGUUCCUAGCUUGGAAGACAUCAAUAUCUGGGACUUGAGUAAUGUGAAGAUGAUAUUUUAUAAUGACCUAGCACCAGGUUCCUUUAAAAAUAUACGAAAAAUAAAUGUUUGGGGAUGUGGGAGUUUGAAAAAUCUAUUUCCAGUAUCAAUAGCCAAAGAUCUUCCACAACUUGAACAUUUAAGCAUCACUGAUUGUGGAGUUGAGGAGAUUGUAUCGAAAGGGGAUGGAGUGGAGGAGCAGCCUGUGAGGUUUGAGUUUCCGCAAGUAUCUUUCCUUGAGGUUACAUGGGUAGAAAAGCUCAAAUGUUUCUAUGAAGGGCAACAUACAAUAGUCUGGCCGAUGUUGAAAAAAUUGAGAACAGAUAGUUCUGCUUUGCUAAAGAUAGUGGCAUCGGAACAUCUUAGAUUAAUCCAAGGAAAUAAGCAGCCAGUUUUGUUGGGUGAAGAGGUAUGUAUAUCAUUACAACUAUAUUUCAUUUUAUGAUUUAAACCACUGCCACAAGCAUCUCAAGUUGAAAUAUGCCACGAUAAUGCAUUUCUAAUUUUUAUAUUUUGUUUUAUUUGGAUUUUUUUUUCGUAUUUUUGAAUUUUCAAUAUAUAUUUUAAAUUUUUUGUUACAUUUAUAAUUAUUUUUUCAUUUUUUUUAAAAACAAGACUGAAUAAACAUAAUAAGUAAAUAUUGAGUGAAUGCAAUUCAAUUUAAUAAAAUGUAUAAAUAUUGAGAGUUAAAUUUAUUAUUAUGUAAAAAAAAAGCUUAAAAAAAUGAAAAUAUUUUAUUUGUUUUUAAGUAUCCAAAAUGAAAAUAUUUUAACACUAAGUGACUGUAUAUGUAAUUUACCCUGCAUUUAAGUAGUGGGUCAAAACUAAAUAGAACGUUUAAUUUGCUAAAAACAAUUGCCACUCAAUAAAAAAUCAAAACUUUAAAAGUUAAUUACACUAGACAUCUCAAACUAUGACCUUCAUUUUAAAUUAGUCUUAAAAUUUAAAAUAUUCUAAUUACAUUCUUAAACUAUUGAGGUUAUAUCAAUUACGUCUUUCUCUUAUUAAAUUCGUUAAUUUAACCAUCAAAUUAAAUCAAUGUAAUAUUUUAAAACCUUGGUGUUUUAUCUCCACUAUUCUGCUUAUAUUUUUUGUCAUAGAAAAAUAUAUAUAUAUAACAAUGGUUGUUUAUCUAUUUUAAUCUAGAUUUGCUACUCUUCUUUCGGCUUUCAUGUUCUGUAAUUUUUAUCAGUUUUUAUUCUCAAGGUAUUGUGUUUUCUUAAAACAAAAAAUUCAUCUACUCUGGAUUCAUUUGAUUUAAUAUUGAUUUUGUUGGGAUUUAAUCAUCAAAAUCAAACACUAAAAUUGUAAAUCUCUUUUUUUUGUUUGUUUGUUUUUUUAAAGCAUAUACAUCAACAUUGAGCCUAACUUGUAUAUGUUUAAUUGGUUUCCAAGGUCAUUCCCAAAUUAGAGGAACUUGAGUUACGAAAUUUUGGUGAUAUGGACCAAUUUCCACCAGACUUGUUUCAACAUAUUAAAGUUUUUGCACUGAGUGGUGGCUCUCCAUUUUCUUUGUUUCCUUUCGUCCGAAGAUUCUACAAUCUGAAAAGACUUGAGGUUUCUAAUUUUGAUUUCAAACAUGUAGUCCCUUGUAAAGGAGACGUCGGGACUCUCCCAUCAAUUAGAAAUCUGAAAUUGGUUUCUGCCAGAAAUCUUAAGCGUAUUUGGAGGAAAGAUUCGGAGCUUGACCAUAUUCUUUCUGAUCUUCAAACACUCACAAUUCACAAUUGUGAUGAUUGGAUAAACAUUAGAGUCUUCUCAUCAUCUUUACAAAAUCUCACAAUUUUGAAUGUGUCACUUUGUAAAAUGAUGACAAACUUAGUUACACCCUCAGUACUUCAGAAUCUUGUGCAAUUAACGACAAUGAUCGUAAGAGGGUGCACUAAAAUGACAGAAAUAGUGGGAAACGAGGGAGACUGUCAUCAGACAAUAGUUGUUAGUAAAUUGAAAUGUUUACAACUAUGCAAUUUGAAGAGCCUCACAAGCUUUUGUCCAUGGUAUUACAACUUCGAGUUUCCUUGUUUGGAAGAAUUAGUUGUGGAACAUUGUCCUUGGUUAAAGAUCUUUUCUGAGGGAGUUUUAAGCACCCCACAAUUACAGAGAAUAAAACAGUCGCAUUACGGUGAGAAAUGGAGUUGCAAGUGAGAGUGGUGAUGCAAGUGAAAGCGUGGUUGGCGAAGGGGGCAUCUAUGAUAACACUGCAACUUUUUUCAGCAAUAAGGUAAGUUUGGUAUUCAAUAUUUAUCUGCACAACUUAUUUCACAUUUUCUUUUGAUUUGAUCAACAUGAGUGUGUCUGGUCUAUAUAUACAUACUAGUGCUACACCUUGUCAAAAUUGAAUAUAAUAAAAUCCAUAAAAAUAUUAAUAAAUAAGACAAUAUUUAAAAGAAAAACUGGAGUUUAAAAGUAUAAAUAAAUAUAUAAAAUAAGAAUUGAAGGAAAAACUUAAAGUGAAAUACUAAAAAACAAUAAGAAUUUAAGAGAAGUUUAAAAUUAAAUAGUAAUAGACAAUAAAUAAUAAAAUAACAAUAGAAAAAAGAAAACUAAUCUUCCUUUAUUUUAAUUUGUGGGUGUAUAAGAAGGAGAUAAUUGUGGAAGACCUUCACAAAGGUCAUUUGAGAUCAAAGGAGAAGAAGCAUGAAAACAAAAGGUGAGGAGUUUGAAGAAGAAAGAACCAAAUAUAUGGGUUUGAUUUAAAGAUUUAAUGUUUUUUUUUUAAUUUCAUAUAUAGAAAAAAUCAUUGAAAGAAAAAAAAAGUUCAAUAUAAUUACUUAAAUUUACCUGUCGGUUUUUAUAAAAGUAACUUAAAUUUUUGAUUAAUUAUGAAAAUGACUCAAUUUAAAAAUUAUGUACAUAAAUUAUUCGAUUUCUAUAGUGUUUGUCGGUGCCCCCAGACACAAUGGCGAUAUCAGACUGAAGUGUGAUUAUAUAAAAUGAUUGUAUUUAUGUACAUAAUUUUUAGUAGUGUUGUUGGAAAAAUUGGCGAUAUCAGACUGAAGUGUGAUUAUAUAAAAUGUUCAUGGACUUAACGAAGUAAUUACCCUUUUUUAAUUAGCGGAAAAAGGGGUCUUCCGGUGAAUAUGGGGCACCAAAUUAAAUGAUUUUCAUCUUUUGGUCUAUUUGCAUGUUUCCCUUUUUGAAAUUAAAUUUAGAUAACCCUUAAGAAAUAUAAGAAUAACAAAAAGAAAUCAUUCUCAUUUAUUUUAUUUUAUUUUUAAAAAAUAAACUUAAAAAAUUAUAUAAAAUGCUUAUUUAAAUUACCCAAAUAUAUCCCUCACACAACUUCCUCAAGUUUAUCUAAAUUCAAGCAUUUUCAAUUCAUUCCCUAGAAUAUUUAAAUUUAGAUAAACUUAAGGAAAUUUUUUGAGGAAUAUAUUUGGGUAAUUUGAAUAAGAAUUUUAUAUAAUUUUUUAAGUAUUUUUUUUCAAAAAAAAUGAAAAUGUUAUAGUUUUGUUAUUAUUAUAUUUUUAAGUGCUAUUUAAAUCUAACUUCAAAAGAGGACAAACGUAACAUGCAAAUAGGUCAAAUGUUGAAAAACAUUUAAUUUGGUUCAGAUACCAACGACACCCCUUUUUCAACCAAUCUAAAACCGUUAACCGCUUCAAAAGAUCCCUGCACGUUUUAUAUAAUCACAUUCAGUCUGGUGCCGUCAAUUUAUUAGGCAAAACCACUACAAUCUUUUUUAAAAAGCAAUCAUUGGCUGAUGAUGGAGGUCAAUGCAAUAAGCACGAUAGAUAUCAAGUCAUUUACGUAUAUGAUUUUUAAGUUGGAUCAUUUUCGUAAUUAACCAAAAAAUUUUGGUUACUUUUAACUGCCUAGUUGAUAUGUGAAUAUUAACCUUUAGAUCAGUUUAUAAAUCUUCAUACUCAUCUACUCAUUUUGAUUGUCUUUCAAAGUACAGAAGGAAGACUGAUACUAUCUUAUAAUAAUAUUUAUGUCAACAGGUUGUCGUUCCUCGUUUGGAGCGUCUGGAUUUGUCCUCGAUCAACAUUCAUAAGAUAUGGCACCACUCAUCCUCCCCAUCUAUCGGAUACCUAAAUUUCUUGCGGGUGAAGAGGUGUCACAAUUUGAAAUACCUGUUCCCGUUUUUCUUAGCAAAAGAUCUUGAGCAACUCCGAUUCCUUGGAAUUUUGGACUGUAAUAUGAUGGAACAAGUAAUAUUCACGGAUGGAUUGGUUGAGGAACAUCAAGGGAGGAAUCAGAUGUUUUUCUUUAAUCUACAUUCGCUGUGGCUAAACGACCUUCCCAAAACUCACAAGUUUGUGCUUUGAAAAUUACUUUGAAUUUCACUGUUUAGCAGAUUUAACACUAAGAAAUUGUCCAUUGCUAAAAACAUUCAUCUCUAAAUGUGUACCCGGAGAUGAACCUCAAAUUGGCCAACAUGUACAGGCAAGUAACUUGGAGGUUCAUAACUCAUCUCUCCUCAAUGAAAAGGUAAUUUCUUCAAGGAUCCUCCUUUUAAUUUAUGUUACUUCGAUUGAUUUUAUUCAUUUGAAGUUCUUUCUUUUUCAUACAUAUUUCAGUUAUUAGCCUAAUGAAAUGAUUUAUUAGAUUGUUUUCUCUAGUUUGAAGUACUUGUCGAUUCAGAAUUGUGAUUCGUUAGAAGAAAUUAUUGAGCUGGAAGGACUCAUUGCUGAUGAGUCACAGUCAACAUCAGCUGCUCAAUCUACUGUGGCUGAAACAGUGACGACCAAGUUUGUAUUUCCCAAACUAAUAAACCUUGGAUUGGAUAAGGUGCCAAGAUUGAAAAGUUUCUACUCUAGGAUGCAUACCACCCAGUGGCCUUCAUUGAAACGAAUGAGCAUUAUUGAAUGCCCCAAAGUACAGAUAUUUACUCGACAAUGUCCUGUGAGUCAGGUUGGAAU
rnacentral:lncRNA from 1 species